GAUGAACGCUGGCGGCGUGCCUAAUACAUGCAAGUCGAGCGAACGGACGAGAAGCUUGCUUCUCUGAUGUUAGCGGCGGACGGGUGAGUAACACGUGGAUAACCUACCUAUAAGACUGGGGUAACUUCGGGAAACCGUAGCUAAUACCGGAUAAUAUUUUGAACCGCAUGGUUCAAAAGUGAAAGACGGUCUUGCUGUCACUUAUAGAUGGAUCCGCGCUGCAUUAGCUAGUUGGUAAGGUGACGGCUUACCAAGGCAACGAUGCAUAGCCGACCUGAGAGGGUGAUCGGCCACACUGGAACUGAGACACGGUCCAGACUCCUACGGGAGGCAGCAGUAGGGAAUCUUCCGCAAUGGGCGAAAGCCUGACGGAGCAACGCCGCGUGAGUGAUGAAGGUCUUCGGAUCGUAAAACUCUGUUAUUAGGGAAGAACAUAUGUGUAAGUAACUGUGCACAUCUUGACGGUACCUAAUCAGAAAGCCACGGCUAACUACGUG
rnacentral:rRNA from 1 species